GUCCCUGUAGUGCAACGGAUAGUGUUCUGGACUUCUAAUCCAAAGGUCGUGGGUUCGAAUCCCACCUGGGAUG